UACGUAGGGUGCGAGCGUUACUCGGAUUCACUGGGCGUAAAGGGUGCGUAGGUGGCAGGGUAAGUUUGAUGUGAAAUCUCCGAGCUUAACUCGGAAACUGCAUUGAAUACUAUCCUGCUUGAGGGUUGGAGGGGAGACUGGAAUUCUCGGUGUAGCAGUGAAAUGCGUAGAGAUCCGGAAGAACACCGGUGGCGAAGGCGGCCCGCUGGGCAACUGCUGACACUGAGGCGCGACAGCGUGGGGAGCAAACAGG
rnacentral:rRNA from 1 species